AUUGAACGCUGGCGGCAGGCCUAACACAUGCAAGUCGAGCGGAGCGGCGGACGGGUGAGUAAUGCCUAGGAAUCUGCCUGGUAGUGGGGGAUAACGUCUGGAAACGGUCGCUAAUACCGCAUACUAUCAGAUGAGCCUAGGUCGGAUUAGCUAGUUGGGGGGGUAAAGGCCUACCAAGUCGACGCUCCGUAACUGGUCUGAGAGGAUGAUCAGUGACACUGGAAAGGAGACACGGUCCAGACUCCUACGGGAGGCAGCAGUGGGGAAUAUUGGGCAAUGGGCGAAAGCCUGAGGCAGCCAUGCCGCGUGUGUGAAGAAGGUCUUCGGAUUGUAAAGCACUUUAAGUUGGGAGGCGUUACCAACAGAAUAAGCACCGGCUAACUUCGUGCCAGCAGCCGCGGUAAUUC
rnacentral:rRNA from 1 species